rnacentral:piRNA from 1 species
UCUGUGCAUAAUAAAAAGAUAUAUAUC